UGGGGAAUAUUGGGCAAUGGGGGCAACCCUGACCCAGCGACGCCGCGUGAAGGACGAAGGCAUUCGUGUUGUAAACUUCUUUGGAGAGGGACGAAGAUGACGGUACCUCUCGAACAAGCCACGGCUAACUACGUGCCAGCAGCCGCGGUAAUACGUAGGUGGCAAGCGUUAUCCGGAAUUACUGGGUGUAAAGGGCGCGCAGGCGGCCCUGCAAGUCGGAUGUGAAAGAUCAAGGCUCAACCUUGACAGGCCAUUCGAAACUGUGGGACUUGAGUGUCAGAGGGGAAAGUGGAAUUCCUAGUGGAGCGGUAAAAUGCGCAGAUAUUAGGAGGAACACCGGUGGCGAAGGCGACUUUCUGGCUGACAACUGACGCUGAGGCGCGAAAGCGUGGGGAGCAAACAG
rnacentral:rRNA from 1 species